rnacentral:rRNA from 1 species
GACGGAGGGUGCAAGCGUUGCUCGGAAUCACUGGGCGUAAAGCGCACGUAGGCGGACUCUUAAGUCGGUGGUGAAAUCCUGGAGCUCAACUCCAGAACUGCCUUCGAUACUGAGAGUCUUGAGUCCGGGAGAGGUGAGUGGAACUGCGAGUGUAGAGGUGAAAUUCGUAGAUAUUCGCAAGAACACCAGUGGCGAAGGCGGCUCACUGGCCCGGUACUGACGCUGAGGUGCGAAAGCGUGGGGAGCAAACAGG